rnacentral:tRNA from 1 species
GGACCCUUAGCUCAGCUGGAUAGAGCAUCUGACUACGAAUCAGAAGGUCGGGCGCUCGAAUCGCUCAGGGUCCACCA